rfam:Streptomyces ambofaciens ATCC 23877, complete genome.
CUUCAGCGAGCCCAGCCACAGCGGCUGUUCCUCGUCGCGCCCGCGCCCGUACGUGGCCAUCAGGGCCUGGACCUC